GAUGAACGCUGGCGGCGUGCCUAAUACAUGCAAGUCGAGCGAACAGACGAGGAGCUUGCUCCUCUGACGUUAGCGGCGGACGGGUGAGUAACACGUGGAUAACCUACCUAUAAGACUGGGAUAACUUCGGGAAACCGGAGCUAAUACCGGAUAACAUGUUGAACCGCAUGGUUUAACAGUGAAAGACGGUCUUGCUGUCACUUAUAGAUGGAUCCGCGCCGCAUUAGCUAGUUGGUAAGGUAACGGCUUACCAAGGCAACGAUGCGUAGCCGACCUGAGAGGGUGAUCGGCCACACUGGAACUGAGACACGGUCCAGACUCCUACGGGAGGCAGCAGUAGGGAAUCUCCCGCAAUGGGCGAAAGCCUGACGGGGCAACGCCGCGUGAGUGAAGAAGGUCUUCGGAUCGUAAAACUCUGUUAUUAGGGAAGAACAAAUGUGUAAGUAACUAUGCACGUCUUGACGGUACCUAAUCAGAAAGCCACGGCUAACUACGUG
rnacentral:rRNA from 1 species